UGGCAGGAUCGAUGGAGCAAGUGUGUGUGUGCGCAAGGGUCCUACUUUGAAGGUGAUUAGGAUCUGCAACAAUGCUCACCUAGAUGCAGUAUUCAAGAGGCAGUUGGAGGUAGUUCUUGAGUUCUAUGAACUCUUUUUAGGACAACUACAUUUAAGGAUGUCCUUGGAAAUCAGAAAUCUACCACCUAUGCCAGCUAACUACAGAUUCAGGUCAAGGCUUAUUCUGGAGGAGAAUUUAAAGGCAGUAGAUACAAAUAGUCUCCUUGUUUUAGAUAUAUUCUAUUUCCUCAGACAUACACCUGUUUUUGAUAAGCACAUCAACUGUGCUAAAAAUGUACGUGUAUUUGUUGCUUGUUAUUGCAGUUUGCCAUCAUUGACGGGCACCAAAAGUGUGUAGUUAAGUUUUCCAUAAAAAAAACAUUUUCCAGAUGAUUUGUUUAGUAGAAGCUCCAUUAGUGGUACUCCAUACUGUUCAAUUUAGAGCACUUGCGAAUGUUUUAUUGACAGUUUCCAUAUGUCAUUUUACCUUUUUUGUAUUUUCUUAGCAAGUGUGAAGCUAACAUGCCAAACUGCCAUAUCCAGUUACUUAGUCAUUAACUAACUAACUCACUCACUGAAAUGGUCUGCAGUUUGUUACAUGAAAUUUAAUGUUUAUAUUGCAGUGACAUUUUAUUGCAUAUUAAAAGUUAAGGUGCCUAGAGCUACCACAUUUCAGUGUGUUAAAUGUGACAUCUGUUUUG